rnacentral:tRNA from 1 species
UGGGGUUUUGGCUCAGCGGUAGAGCGCUCACCUAGCAUGUGUGAGGCCCUGGGUUCAAAUCUCGGCAUCACAU